GUGGGUGGAAGUGACGUGACUCGUGUGGAAGCUUUAAGAGCCUGCACGCAGUGUACCAUGCUUUCUAGGUUCUCUCUGUCACUGAAACUGCGCCAUCAGCACGGGUCCUGGAGGGCUGGAGAUACAGCAACAGCCUGGAGACAGGCAUGCACAGUGCUGGAAAUUAAACCUGGGUUCUCUGGAAGAAUAGCCAAUGCUCUUAGUCACUGAACCAUGUUUCCAGACCAGCAGAAGGAUUUUUAAAAGCUGCUUUAGAAGCUGUAAUUAGUGGCACAUGUCUGUGAUCUCAGCAUUGAAGAGGCAGAAACACGAGAACCAGGAGUUCAAGGACAUCCUUGGCUACACAAAAAGCAUAUGGAAGAAAGAAGGAAGAAGAUGAAGAAAAG